GACGAACGCUGGCGGCGUGCUUAACACAUGCAAGUCGAACGGUAAGGCCCUUCGGGGUACACGAGUGGCGAACGGGUGAGUAGCACGUGGGUGAUCUGCCCUGUACUUCGGGAUAAGCCUGGGAAACUGGGUCUAAUACCGGAUAGGACCACGGCCUGCAUGGGUGGUGGUGGAAAGCGUUUGCGGUGUGGGAUGGGCCCGCGGCCUAUCAGCUUGUUGGUGGGGUGAUGGCCUACAAAGGCGACGACGGGUAGCCGGCCUGAGAGGGUGACCGGCCACACUGGGACUGAGAUACGGCCCAGACUCCAACGGGAGGCAGCAGUGGGGAAUAUUGCACAAUGGGCGCAAGCCUGAUGCAGCGACGCCGCGUGAGGGAUGACGGCCUUCGGGUUGUAAACCUCUUUCAGCACCGACGAAGCGCAAGUGACGGUAGGUGCAGAAGAAGGACCGGCCAACUACGUGCCAGCCGCCGCGGUAA
rnacentral:rRNA from 1 species